AACGAACUCUGGUAUUGAUUGGUGCUUGCAUCAUGAUUUACAUUUGAGUGAGUGGCGAACUGGUGAGUAACACGUGGGAAACCUGCCCAGAAGCGGGGGAUAACACCUGGAAACAGAUGCUAAUACCGCAUAACAACUUGGACCGCAUGGUCCGAGUUUGAAAGAUGGCUUCGGCUAUCACUUUUGGAUGGUCCCGCGGCGUAUUAGCUAGAUGGUGAGGUAACGGCUCACCAUGGCAAUGAUACGUAGCCGACCUGAGAGGGUAAUCGGCCACAUUGGGACUGAGACACGGCCCAAACUCCUACGGGAGGCAGCAGUAGGGAAUCUUCCACAAUGGACGAAAGUCUGAUGGAGCAACGCCGCGUGAGUGAAGAAGGGUUUCGGCUCGUAAAACUCUGUUGUUAAAGAAGAACAUAUCUGAGAGUAACUGUUCAGGUAUUGACGGUAUUUAACCAGAAAGCCACGGCUAACUACGUGCCAGCAGCCGCGGUAAUACGUAGGUGGCAAGCGUUGUCCGGAUUUAUUGGGCGUAAAGCGAGCGCAGGCGGUUUUUUAAGUCUGAUGUGAAAGCCUUCGGCUCAACCGAAGAAGUGCAUCGGAAACUGGGAAACUUGAGUGCAGAAGAGGACAGUGGAACUCCAUGUGUAGCGGUGAAAUGCGUAGAUAUAUGGAAGAACACCAGUGGCGAAGGCGGCUGUCUGGUCUGUAACUGACGCUGAGGCUCGAAAGUAUGGGUAGCAAACAGGAUUAGAUACCCUGGUAGUCCAUACCGUAAACGAUGAAUGCUAAGUGUUGGAGGGUUUCCGCCCUUCAGUGCUGCAGCUAACGCAUUAAGCAUUCCGCCUGGGGAGUACGGCCGCAAGGCUGAAACUCAAAGGAAUUGACGGGGGCCCGCACAAGCGGUGGAGCAUGUGGUUUAAUUCGAAGCUACGCGAAGAACCUUACCAGGUCUUGACAUACUAUGCAAAUCUAAGAGAUUAGACGUUCCCUUCGGGGACAUGGAUACAGGUGGUGCAUGGUUGUCGUCAGCUCGUGUCGUGAGAUGUUGGGUUAAGUCCCGCAACGAGCGCAACCCUUAUUAUCAGUUGCCAGCAUUAAGUUGGGCACUCUGGUGAGACUGCCGGUGACAAACCGGAGGAAGGUGGGGAUGACGUCAAAUCAUCAUGCCCCUUAUGACCUGGGCUACACACGUGCUACAAUGGAUGGUACAACGAGUUGCGAACUCGCGAGAGUAAGCUAAUCUCUUAAAGCCAUUCUCAGUUCGGAUUGUAGGCUGCAACUCGCCUACAUGAAGUCGGAAUCGCUAGUAAUCGCGGAUCAGCAUGCCGCGGUGAAUACGUUCCCGGGCCUUGUACACACCGCCCGUCACACCAUGAGAGUUUGUAACACCCAAAGUCGGUGGGGUAACCUUUUAGGAACC
rnacentral:rRNA from 1 species